rnacentral:tRNA from 1 species
GCGGGGGUAGCCAAGUCUGGUCAAAGGCGCAAGAUCGAGGGUCUUGUCCCUAGCGGUUCGCAUGUUCAAAUCGUGCCCCCCGCA